UGAUGCAGCGACGCCGCGUGAGGGAUGACGGCCUUCGGGUUGUAAACCUCUUUCGCUAGGAAAGAAGCCAUGUUGUGGUGACGGUACCUGGAUAAGAAGCACCGGCUAACUACGUGCCAGCAGCCGCGGUAAUACGUAGGGUGCGAGCGUUGUCCGGAAUUACUGGGCGUAAAGAGCUCGUAGGUGGUUUGUCGCGUCGUCUGUGAAAUCCCGGGGCUUAACUCCGGGCGUGCAGGCGAUACGGGCAUAACUGGAGUGCUGUAGGGGAGACUGGAAUUCCUGGUGUAGCGGUGAAAUGCGCAGAUAUCAGGAGGAACACCGAUGGCGAAGGCAGGUCUCUGGGCAGUAACUGACGCUGAGGAGCGAAAGCAUGGGUAGCGAACAGGAUUAGAUACCCUGGUAGUCCAUGCCGUAAACGGUGGGCGCUAGGUGUGGGGAUCUUUCUACGAUUUCCGUGCCGUAGCUAACGCAUUAAGCGCCCCGCCUGGGGGAGUACGGA
rnacentral:rRNA from 1 species